AUAGGGAACAUCACUUGAGAAAAUACUCCUUCCAUAUUGGCUUAUGGGCAAACCUGUGGGGUAUUUCUUAAUUAAUGGUUGAUAUGGGAGGGGCCAGUCCAUCCUGGGCAAUGUCACUCCUCAGUUGGUAUUACUGAGUUAUAUAAGAAACUAGACUGAGCAAGCCAUGAGGAGCAAACCAAUGUCUGCUGCCACCGGGGACAACCAGCUCUACCUGCAGCCCGAGAGGAUUGAUCUCAUCUAGGACUACCAGGCCUGCCAACACUAGGGACAAUGAGAUGGUUAAGAGCCAGCAUAAGAACUCAACCAAUAAAAGCCAGUACAAUAUGGUA